UCCAGACUCCUACGGGAGGCAGCAGUGAGGAAUAUUGGUCAAUGGGCGGGAGCCUGAACCAGCCAUGCCGCGUGAAGGCGAGUGCCCUACGGGCGUUAAACUUCUUUUGUGCGGGAGCAAUAAGGGCCACGUGUGGCCCGAUGAGAGUACCGCACGAAUAAGCAUCGGCUAACUCCGUGCCAGCAGCCGCGGUAAUACGGGGGAUGCGAGCGUUAUCCGGAUUUAUUGGGUUUAAAGGGUGCGCAGGCGGAAUGUCAAGUCAGCGGUAAAAUUUCGGGGCUCAACCCCGUCGUGCCGUUGAAACUGGCGUUCUUGAGUGAGCGAGAAGUAUGCGGAAUGCGUGGUGUAGCGGUGAAAUGCAUAGAUAUCACGCAGAACUCCGAUUGCGAAGGCAGCAUACCGGCGCUCAACUGACGCUCAUGCACGAAAGCGUGGGUAUCGAACAGGAUUAGAUACCCCCGUAUG
rnacentral:rRNA from 1 species